ensembl:lncRNA
UCCAUAUUUGAAAAGCAAUCCUUUAUUAGAACCAAUACAAGAGUAUGAAAAGAGGGAAAAGAGGGUGGAAGGGGAGAGAAUGAUGUCUGAAUCGGAUGUCAGUUAUAGAAAGACAUGUCUGUUUUUUUUUUCAAAACAUUUACACUUAAAAUGCAAACAUACAUGUAUAUAGAUAGAUAGACCACUUAUCCUUUAAAGAAAUCAAAAGCAGGCGAGUUUGGCUGAAAUAGAACCAAGAAACACAACCAAAACUCCCCCACAAACCAAAAAGUCCACCGAGAAUUCAAGACCUCACUUCCACUUAGACACCUGGCCACAAAGUGUGGUCUGCUUCCCACUCAGAAUGGCACAGCAGAGACUGAGAAAAUCCAGCCUCGAGGACCUCUGAAAGCCCUCUCCAUGAGGAGGUGGGAACAUGGCCAGCAGGCAGGGGUAAGGCAACUGCUGGCUACUACUUGGCAGGACAUGAGACUGCUCCUUUCCCAUCCUCCAGAGAACCCUCUAGGAUCCCUGUUAGGAGUAGAGUCCACCUAACAGUACUGGAGUGUGUACCUCCAGGGAGCUAGGACUGUGUGCUUUUUCAUGGUACCAAUACAAGGUCAAGUAGGGGAAAGGAAACCUAUCACGAAGAGCUUGGGGAUGCCUUAGCCCUAUACUGAAACACAGAGUAAGGCUUUUGAACCCUCAAGUGGGCAAACAAGUGUCCAAGAUGUCCUCAGUGGGUCAGAUGGUGGACACUGAAAAGAGGUGACAGAUUCCACACACAGUGAACUGGAAGAAGCCUUGAGGACCAAUGCUCAAUUCUGAAAUGUUACACCUAUUUCUAGAAACAAAAAAACAAAAAUCCAAUACAGCUUUUUGGUGGGGGAAGGGAGAGCUAUGUUGCUUGAACCAUCUGGCUUCUAUGAGAGGGCAGAGGCAUAGAAGCAUGAAGGGUUCAGUAGACUAACUGUCCUAGGAUCAGUCUGGAAAAUGAAAGCAACAAUAUAAAUCCAAAAUACCAAGUGUCACUUCCUUUCGAAGACAGUCAGAAGUGGUUAUAAGUCCAUGAGAAUAGGACCUUAACUCCUGCAGAGAAAGACAUGCGGUAGCAUUCCUGCCUCAAGAUUCCUAAACCAAGGCUCUUGAAUUUCUAACAGUCUCUUUGUAAUAUAAGACACAGAACCCACAAGUGCCUUCCCUUACAUUGUCCCAAGUUAGACUGGACGAUCAAGACUCCAACAUUCACAAAACACUGUUAACAUCUGAACUAGCAGCUUUGAUGAGGGGUAAAGGGUGGGGGGACAGAAACUCGCCAAGGUCACUAACUACUUCCAAACUUGGAAGUAGCUCAGUGAGGGCUAAAAGAGUCCGACUUAAGGUAUCCUCCACAGGCAAUCCUAAAGGGUUGAUCAGCUCUGAUCUGUAAUGCCUCACAACACCCCAUGAGGUAGGUCAGUAUUAUCACCCCAUUUGACAGAUGGGGAACUGAGGCAUUGAAAGGAAAGACUUGCCCAAGGUCAGCCAUUAAGACCAAGUAGGAGGUUAGCACAGAACUAUGCACUAGAACAUCUCACUUUCAGUCAUUUCACUGCAGCCGGAUGAGUCCAAUCAACACACUGUUAAUUGAGGGCUGCUGCUCACCUGGAGUAACCCAAGGCUGGACAAACCACCUUAGUGCCACUUUGAAAAUUAAGUUGCAUUUUUUAAACACUAAAACUCACUAAGAAGUGAAGGGUUAGCCAGGCAGUGAUGGCGCACACGUUUGAUCACAGUACUUGGGAGGCAGGGGCAGGCAGAUCUUUGAGUUCGAGGCCAGUCUGGUCAACAGAGCAAGUUCCAGGACAUCCAUGGCUACACAGAGACCCCAUCUUGGAAAACAAAACAAAACAAAACAAAAACAGAACAAAAAAUAAACAAACAAACAAAAGACAUUGAUUCUCAGUCUUCUACUGGGUAAUCCAGGUUCCCAAGGUCCAGAAAGCAGCAUGGGCCUCCUAAGGUCAGCACUGAGCAUCUGAGGGCUGCAGGGCACAGUGCAGACUCCUAAGCACAAUUCCCUCUACUACUGCCUGGCACUCCUCCUGUGACAGCAACCGUUCCACAGCCUGACUCAUCUCACCUAAAGGGGGUAGCAUCUUUACAAACAUCUUAAGGACAUACUGAUGCUUCUCCUACUACCAGAAAGGAAAACAGAAACAAAGAUGUCUUCCCCAUACCUUAGAAUUCCAGUAGGAAAUCAUUUUGUGCCUAUCUUAAAACUAUUGGGGUUGGGGGCACUGCUAAGCUGGUUUAGGAUCAAACCCUAAUGCUAAUGGAAACUGAAAAACACAGACUUGCAUCUUGAUCAUGCUGUCACACAAGGAAACUAUCUUUUUAGUUUUCAAAGAAUUUCAAAGCAGGACACUGCCUUCCUCCCACAGCCUUCACAACAACCAGUAUAGAACUCUAUAUACAAGCACUCAACAGAUGAUAUGAUGUUCACUAGGGACACUCUACGACUUUAAUAUAUAUGUUUAUAUCCCGCUGAUCUGAUUAGAAUGAAUAGAUCCAUAUGAUAAAAAAAUUCAAGGCUGGUGUUUCAGCAAUGUCAGCUUAGGUUCAGUCUGUCUGGAAACUUCCCUAACAAACAAAACACUCUGAGCUAGGAAUACAGUUCAGUGGUAGAGCACUUGUCUAAAAUGUACAAGGCCCUGAGUUCAAUUCUCUCCUACCCACCCACACAAACACAAAUGCAUGUACCCCUCAUAAUCCCAGUGCUCAAGGCUGAAGCUGGAGGGCUGUAAGCACUAGGGUCAGCCUGGGUUACUUAAAAAAAAAAAAAA